ensembl:snRNA U1 U1 spliceosomal RNA
AUAUUUACCUGUUAGGGGAGAUACCAUGAUGAUAGUUUUCUCAGAGAGAGGCUUACCCAUUGCACAUGUAUCUUCUGAUUCCUGCAAUUUCCCCAAAUGUGGGAAACUCAACUGCAGAAUUUGUGGUAGUGGGGGGAUGCAUUCAUUCUCUCCCCUG